rnacentral:lncRNA from 1 species
UUUUUUUUUCGUCUUUCCUUUGCGUUUUUUGUUCUUUUUUUCAAUAAUUCAGGAUAUCAAACAGCUUUUAAAUUUCAGUAAAAGAUACUAAUUAAAAAAAACAAUCAUGAUUUCGAUUUUUUUAUCAUUAUUUCAAAUAUGCUCGGGAAUUCAAAAAAUAUUCAUGAAUUUGCAAAAAAAAUGUUCAGAAAUUCAAAAAUGUUCAUGAUUUCAAAAAAAGUUCAUGCAUUCGCGGAACGUUCAAGAAUUUGAAAAAAAUAUUCAUGAUUACAAAAAAUGUUCACAAAUUUAAAAAAUGAUCACGAAUAUAAAAAAUUGUUCAUGAUUUCAAAAAAAGUUCAUGCAUUCACGAAAUGUUCACCAAUUUGCAAAAGAUGUUCAUGAUUACAAAAAAUUGUCUGGAUUUUAAGAUAAUAUUCACGGUUCAAAAAGAUAAUAUUCACGGUUCAAAAAAAUGUUUGUUAAUUUGAAAAAAUGUUCAUGUAUUGGUACAAAAUGUUCAUGAUUCCAAAUGAAUGAUCUUUUUUUAAUUUUACGAACAUAGUUUGAACAUCGGUGAACAAAUUUGGCAUUUGAUGAACAUUUUUUUUAAUUUGAAGAACAAAAUUUGUGUUAGACAAAAAUUUUGUAAAAAAAUUGUAUUCGAUGAACAUUAUUUUGAAAAAAUGAUGAACAAAUUUUUAGUUCAGUGAACAAAAUUUUGAAUGUGAUGAGCAAAAAAUUCAAUGAAAAAACAGAAACCGAUGAACAUUUUUUAAGUUUGACGAACAACUUUUCAAUAUUUAUGAACAGUUUUUAAAUCUGAUGAACAAAAAAUUGAAUUGGAUGAACAUGUUUUGGAUUGUUGAACAUUUUCUUGCAUGGUAGAACAUUUUUUUGAAGUCGAUGAACAAAAUAAGUUGUUAAUGAAUUCGAAAUAAAAAAUGCCAAAAAUAGUCAAAAAGUGAAGAAGAAGAAGAAAAUAGGAAAAAAGGGAAAGAAAAACCUAAAAAGGAAAAAAUGAAAGAAACAAUUGAAAAGAACAGAAAAACAGAAAAAACCAGUAUAGAAAACAUAAAAAAAACAUAAAAACUGGUUCUACAAAGGUUCUAGGACCUUCCCAAAAAUGGCAGAACCAGAAAAAGGGAAGCGAACUGGGCCGGCCCAAAAGACACAGGGGGUACGCGCUACAGUGUUACCCGGCGACCUACGCACCAUAUAGGAACCCCGCUCCCUGAAGGCGAGACAUAGGGAUGCCCAGUUUCCUCACCUAGUUCCUAGCGCCAACGCUAAGGGCGCGUACAAUGGUGCUAUCUUAGGAGUGCUACGUAGGAUAGAUAAUGAAGUGGAGGAGAGAGAAGUCAUAAGAAACGGAUUGUCUUCCCUUAUUUAAGAGAAGACAAGUGAUGAUCUCUUAGCAUAAUAUGUUUCACCAUGUUUUUAGGAAUUACUAAUUAUUGAAGAUAAGGCUAAGAGAUGACCCAUUGUAGACGUUUUUUUGUCAUAUCUAAAUUACAUGCAAGAUUUAAGAUAAAACUAUCUUAUCAACCAUUGUACAUGCCCUAAGGGGCCGGCCAAGUAACAAGUCUGCAUGUGGCGGUUCCUGCUGUCUAUGCAAAUAUUUUUCUAGGAAGUUUUUCAAGCGGGGAUUUGUUUAUUCUUGAUGGGUUUUCUACUAACAUACUUUCGAAAGUUAAGAGAAUGUUCGCAAGUUUCAUGAAUUCAAAAAUGUACAUGCAGUUUUAAAAUUGUUCAUGGAUUUAAAAAAUAUUUACAAAUUUCACAAAAAACUCUGAAUUUUGAAAAAAAAUCGCGAUUGUCAGAAAUGUUCUCGCAUUUGCCAAUUUUGAUGGACUAUAAAAUGUUCAAAAAUUUAAAAAAUAUGUUUGUACCUUUAUUUAAUUUGGGGAAAGAGAGAACCAAGAAGCAGAAAUAAAAAAGGGCAAAAGAAAAAAGAAAUAAAAAUCAAAAGAAAACCAGUGGAAAGAAGCACACACACAAAAAGAUAAUGGGUCGGGGAAGGUUAAAAUUCUCAAAACCCGUAGGAGAAAGACAUGGAAAGAACAAAGAAAUAGGCUGACUCAGUUAGCUUGUUUGCAUCGAGUGACAUGUCUCGCUUUGUGCGAGACACAUCAAGCGCUCACCGCAAGGGCGCCAUUACGAGUUGCUCAAAAAUAUAAAAUAAGGGCGCCCUUUCAUCGCUUUUAUAUUGGACCGAGCCAAGGACCUUUCAUUCAUUUUUUCAACUUUUUACCUUUGUUUGUAUUUUUGAAAAUAUUUCCAAUACAUGUAUUUCAAAACUUACUUUACUUUUUUGUUGUACCGUCGACCAAACAAUACAAAAAUGUUAACGUUGUGUAAAAUUUUGUUCACGAGAAGAAAUAAUGGUACUCCCUUCUUCCAUCUAAAAAGGGUCUAAUACGUUUUUUGAGACUAACAUUGACCAAAUGUUAGAGCAAUAAUAUAUGACAUGCAACUUACACAAAAUAUACCCUUAAAUUCGUAUAUGAAAGGAACUUCCAAUGAUAUAAUUUUCACAUUGUACAUCUUAUGUACUAUUAAUCUUGUCAAUAGUCAAAGCCGGUCUUGAAAAACGCAUUAGACCCUAUAUAGAUGGAAGGAGGGAGUAUCAAGAAAGAAAGUGUUAGUGGAUUUAAUGUUUUUCAUGUGUUUCAAAAAUAUGUUCAUGGCAUUUAAAAAAAGGUUAUACAGUGUUAACACUUUCCUAACUAAAAAUAUGUUAUUACCAUUCAUAAAAUGUACAUUAUAUUUAAAGGAAAAAAUUCAUAUGAAUUCACAUAUUUGUUUGUGGUAUUUUUAUAAGCUUUUUAUGUUGUGUAAUGUAAUAUACUCAUAUGUUUAAAGUAACAUUUCAUAUCAUUCAGAAAAGGUUUAUCAUGUAUUUAAAAAAUGUGUGACAUGUAUUCAAAACAUCUUCAACAAUGUAAUGGUAAUUUUUUUAUCAUGUAUUUGAAAAUAGUCAACGUGUAACAAAACAAUGUUCCAGAUUUAUAUGAAAGUGUACAACCUGUAUUGUAAAAAAUUAGACAUGUAUUGAGUGAAAUUUCUAUACAUUCUUGAACAAUGCAAGAAAUGUUCGCCUACUUAUAAAAAUGUUUUGUAUCAUCGAAAAACAAUCUUGAAUAUGUGUUUGAAAAACUAAUUAACAUAUAUCCAUAAAAUAUACAGAACAUGUAUUAGAAAUAUAUUCAUCAUGUAUUUAAGUAAGGUGUGUAAAAAAAAUAUUCUAGGUGUAUAUAAAAAAUACAUGUAUUGAAAUAAGUAGGCAUGUACAUGAAAAAUAAAAAGAUCCAAGUGAAACCGAUUUAAAGAUACAGAAAAAUCGCAAAGAAAAACCUUAAAGAACCUCAGAGGAGAAUCAUGAAAAAAAAAUAAGCAAACCGAAAACCAAAUAUGUAACCUUCGUAACUGGGUCGGCCCAUUCGUGGCGUGCUAUGCGAGCCAGUGCUACAUCUCGUAUUCGGCGAGAUGUAGCCUUGGCACAGUUUUUUUUAGACAUUCUAUAGCCCUGUCACAAGUGCUAUAUCUUGUUUAUGGCGAGAUGGAAGGAGGUUUCACCUGAUGGAUUAUCUGCGCAGUAUACACCGGGCCAGCCCAUAUUCGCCGCUGCUUCGAUUGUUCGCUGUUCUCUUCGAUUUUCUUCCUUUUCCUAAUUAGUUUUUCUACAGCUUCUUAUUUCCUCACCAAUCACUUCAGUUCUUCUUUUACCCUUGGCAUUUUUUUGGGUUUAUUUUUUUAUCACCAGUAUUAUUUGUCCUUUUUUCAAUAUACAACGGUUUUCAUUGUCUUCUUGUUUUUCUUUUCUCUUGUUUUUUGUUUCUUUAUCCGUUUUUAUUGGUUCUAUUUUUUCAGUGCACAGCUACAUAAUUAGUGUACAGGUGAAACAUUUUGUUGAUAGACGGUGAUUUUUUUAAAAUAUACGAUGUCCAUUUUCCUUCAAUACAUGCUUCAACACUUUUCUGGACACAAGGUCAACAUUUUUUACAACUGCACGUUGAAACUUUUUUUCAUGGUAAUACAUAUUGUUUUUAAACUAUGCGAAAAUAAUGUUCCAUUUUUAGAAACAUUUUGGUAACUAUCGCAAACAUUUGUUUGAAAUGCCUUAUUUUUUUUCUCCAUAUAUUUUUUGUAUUCAUUGUUUUAUCACCUGAUUUUUUUUAAAUUUCUUCUUCUUUUUUUCUUUGUUAUACUUUGCUGUUCUUUGUUUUUCUCAGUUUUCUUUUCGUAUAUUUUAUUGGUUUUUAUUGUUUUUUAUUGGUAUUUUUUAACACAUGUCUACUUCUUUUCAGUGCACAAUAUACAUAUUUAGUAUACACGUGAACCAUAUUUUUAUACACAUUUUUUUACAUAUACAUGAUGUACAUUUUUCUUUCAAUACAUGUUUGAACACUUGUUUUCAUACAUGGUCUCUAUUUUUUUUAAAUACACGUUGAAACAAAAAAUUUAAGUGUACUAAACAUUUUUAAACAACAUGGACAUGUUUUACAUUUGUAUUUACAUUUUGGUAAAUGUCACAAUGAAUUUGAAAUGUGGAAGCAUUUCUUCAGAAUGCCACGUACAUUCUUUUAGUGGUACAAAACAUUUUUAUAAUAUGUCAUAGACUUUAUUUACAUUGUAUACACAUUUUUUUAAAAAUCUUAUGUUGAUUUUUUUUCUUAUGUUUAAUAUGCGACACACAUUUUUUUUGAAAGAAACGAACAUUUUCCUUUGCCACGAACAUUCUUUUUGAAAGCCAUCAACAUUUGUUUAAUUGUGCUAACACUUUUUAUACUGUUUAACAUUUUUCAAAUUCAUGGAUUCAUUUUUUAAGUAACCUUAUGUUUUUUCAUUAUACAUAUGAAUAACAAAAAAUAAAAGCGAAAUUAACAUAGCGUCAACGCGAUGACCCACCUCUCUAUUGGACCGGGCCACCUUCGGCUCCGCUCGCAGGCGAGGCAGCCGCCUUGCUAUAAGCGAGACAUAGCCUCGCCCUAGGUUACUACUUGUGAUUUUCCUAAUUUAAUUACUGGCAAUGCUUUUUUUUGCGAACUAAUUACCGGCAAUGCUAAUCACCCUUUACUAAUUGUAAACUGACUCAAACACAACUAGCACCACUUACGUGACCACUUCCUAGGGCCAGUUCUUUUGGGCGGCUUAAAAAAUAAGCUGCCUCUCCCUAGCUUAAAAAAUAAGCCGCCUCUAAAUUUUUUUUGAGACUUCUAGAAUAUUUAUCCCAUGACUAGUUUAGAAGCCCCAACGAAUAUAGGAGGUGGCUUAUGGGAAAAGCUGGGGAGAGACAGCUUAUUUUUUAAGCCGCCGAAAAGAACUGGCCCCUAGUAAAACUACCAAAACUAAACUAGGUUUUGUUUGGAUUACCUAAACCAUCCUUUGCGCGCGGCUUUGUCUAAACGUGCAUUAUAUAGGGCCGUGUCUGUCGAGAAAGCUGAUGCCUUUUCGCUAUUACCUUAAAAUUCGCGUGCAUCUUUUGAGCCAAAACAACUCACAAGUCACAACUGGCGAGUGACGACUUUAACAACCAAUGGCAGGUUGCACCGAUGAUUUAGAUUCUGGGAACCUAAUCAUUUUGACCCACGCUAUAAGCCCAUUGGCUCCCCGGCCAACUUGCUUCAAAAUAAGCCUCCUCCCGUACUCACUGACGAAAGCAUUGGUUCCGCAGAUUCAUGGAGGCGCUCAUUUUAAACCUGUGAUCUCAUCGUCGUCGCAGGAAGCACGAUCGAGCCUGUGGAUCCCUCGCGCGUGCUCCCGCCCAUAAACUACCAGUUCCCACUUAAACAACCAGGCUCAGCCAAUAACAGCCGAUCAGCCGGUCUAGUUCGCAUCGGAGACGCAAGCCCCGCCCGGCCGGUGGAAUCUUCGGGGCUACUAAACGUGCGAGAGCUUCCAAAUCAGACUCCUAGGGAGGGCGAUCACGUCACGGAGGCGAACAAAACCGGGGGAUGAUUGGCUCUCGCUCGCCUCACCAACUCCUGUACAGUGUCUCCACCACCCAUCAUCCGUUUGAGUGGCCAAGACCAAGAGGAGCACGGAGCCAAAUUACUUGUUAACCUCGCGCAUUGGCGAGACGUUAACGUCGUAAUCGCCGUCGGCUAGCUCCGGAAGGAAAAGAGAGGGGUAGGAGAUUCCCGACGUUCCCGCGUCGCAACCGAGUGAAACAACAGGCCCAAGCCUCCACACCACACCCACGACCCACCCACGAACAUGCGGCCGGCCGCUGUCCCGGUGACGUCUCGCCCCCUCACCAACCGGUCGCGCGCGCGCCCGACGCGCACGGUGGGGCGGGCGAAUGGCUGCGCGCGGCGUGGCGGGGCCCGACAGGCCCGGGGCGCCGCGACGUUGGCCCUGCCUGGCACGAGAGCUACCGGGAAUCCGAGCGGGGAGAUUCAUGGGACGCCUAUGACGGGUGGGUGGCAGGCAUUCCCUGGGCCUACCGGUCGGCGUGGAUGGGCUGGCGUUGCUGGGCUGUUUUUGGUUCUCUCGGGGAGGCGGGCCGGGCGCGUGGACACCAGUAAAAGAAUUCGGGCGGCCUGUGGGAUCUCGACAGGUGGCUAUCACGGCGAAUCGGAUGCGGUUCCCGGAACGGACGGUGGAGGGCGACUCGAGCCGAGGCUGAGCCCAGCCAAGCCGGGCUUGGCUGCGGCGCCGCGAGCGAGCCUGCCUGUAUUUUUCGACCCUUUUAGUACUAUGUUGUCGUGAUAUUUUGCUGGCCCACUGCUCAAUAAUUAAAGUGGUACAGUACUACACCAAACAACGUUGCGCAGUCGCGACCCGCAAUAAUCCAGCGUGAGCGACGGGGCCCUUGGAGGCGCACAACUUGUGCACGUAACAGCUUGCGAGCCGUGGCUUGGCCAUGUCGCUACAGCCCUCCAGGCCCACGGAAAGCGACCUCCACUUUUGGGUGAAAGCGACGUGAAUGGAAUCGCUUCCAAUAACUGGUGCAGAUCUCAGAUCUGCUGCCGCCACAACUUGUCGUCUUUUUACGGUUUCGAGUAUUGGCCUGUAGGGUCGAGCUACUAGGUAAUUUUUGGGACAGUGAAAGAUUGUCUUCACUUGCUUUUCGAACCCAAGCUUGGAUGCGGUGAUUAUAUAAUGCAUGUGUAUUACUACCUUUACUAGCAGAAAUCCAUGCGUUGUCACGGGUUUUUAAAAUAUAUUUUUAAAGUUAUAUAUAUGCAUAUUAAAUUUCACAUGUAUAGAAAAGAUAGCCAGUAACGGUCAUGUAAUAAUUGAAGUCCACCUCACUUACGAUAUAAGUUGAUAAAAAGGUAAUUUAACAAUGUAUAUAUAGAGAGCGGUGAUCUAACUAAUAAUCUCUUAUAAAUUAACAUAUACUUGAUACCCUUCAGAUAUUCCGCACAAUAUCAGAAAUGUUGUCUUUAACUUUAUUCACACGAUAUUUAAGCAAAGAAUAAUAAGAACUUCCUUAGCUCAAAACUACACUGCAAGGGUAAUAUAUGUAGUUAGCACGAUAUUUUUGUGAAAGGUCUCAAAAUGUGCAACGAAUAAUACUCAUCGUGCAAACCGGACAAACCAAUUCAUUACCAUUCCAUGAGAGCAUACAAUCAAAAACAAAAUACCCAGACACAUCUCUGCAAUUUCCUAAAUUGAUAUUAUCUUGAAUAUAGUGAUAACAAUAAGAGACCGGUGUAACAUAUACUCACCACAAAGAGGUCGCACGACAGGACAAUCCUCUCACUAUCUCCACACAAUCAUCGUUUCCAUGGUGCCUCCCCUUUGCUCAACACCGUCGCCCGACCACUCCCCUCCUCUCGACGAAAUUGGCCGGCUCCUCCUCUCCCUGCCACGAUCACCCCCUCCUCUCCCCUCCAUAGCGUCGGCGCUCCUCCUCUCCACACAAUCGAUGGAGCCUGUCUGCUCUUGUCCCGGCCGCCUCCCUUCCCUCGAAACAGAAAUGUCCACGUGUUUUCACAAUGUGGAUUAAAUAAUGUUUUAAUCCAAAAAUGUUUAUAAACAUAAUGGUGUGUGAUUUUUGUUCAUAUAACGACAAACUAUUUCUCUCUCACUCCUUUCCUCUAGGGUGUGUCUCCUUAACCAUCCUCUCCUUACAAGGAGGUGACCCUUACAAGAAGACAAAAUAACAUCUUAUCCUCAACAACCCUCUCCUUACAAGAAGGUAAACCUUAGAAGAGAAAAACUAACGUCCUUCUCCCCAUGACUCUUCCCCUCAACCUUCACUAUCAUCAUGUGUCUAAUCUCUCUUUCAAAAUUGUAUAGCGNNNNNNNNNNNNNNNNNNNNNNNNNNNNNNNNNNNNNNNNNNNNNNNNNNNNNNNNNNNNNNNNNNNNNNNNNNNNNNNNNNNNNNNNNNNNNNNNNNNNNNNNNNNNNNNNNNNNNNNNNNNNNNNNNNNNNNNNNNNNNNNNNNNNNNNNNNNNNNNNNNNNNNNNNNNNNNNNNNNNNNNNNNNNNNNNNNNNNNNNNNNNNNNNNNNNNNNNNNNNNNNNNNNNNNNNNNNNNNNNNNNNNNNNCCCAGUGCCGCUACCCAGGCGACUCUUCCCCUCAACCUUCACUCUCGUCAUGUGGCUAAUCUCUCUCUCAAAAUUGUAUAGCGUGUGUGUGACAAUAGUAGUAAGAAACACAAACUGAAUCCAUAUUUACCCCCGCCACCGGCGCCGCCACCCAGGCGACUUGGGGGUAACCCUAGCUGCGCCGAAUACAGAUGGAAUACAACGAGAAAUGACCGCACACUAAAUUUUUGAUUUACAAAUAAUGAAAGACUCACUUAGUGCAAUGAUCUUUUUGGCUCCAACGAAAGUAACAGUUUUGGGACUGCAAAGGAACAUAAAGAAAAAUAAAUGUCAUGUAUACCGGAGAAAAAGAAACUAAAACAAAGACCUAGUUAACUAAAAUGACAGUAACCAUAAACUUAUUUCAUUUCAUUAUGGUAUGCACAUUGCUACGGCGACUUGCGACAUACUAAUUUAAAUGUACCACAUGCUUGGUACAGAAUGCUAAUCAUGGUUACUCCUUGAACGACGUCACUCCAUGGGCUCCUCACACAGUACACCACAAGCCAUGGCCAUAUAUAUCUAACAGUAGAAAUCACAUCUUGCAUGUUCAAGCGCAAAUCCCAUGAUAGCAUGCCCCCGCAAGAGCACACCUCGGCAAUCUCUUCCAUGUCUAUGGAGACGAGGGAGAAUCUGGACACAUACCUCCAUUGCAAGUGCCUCUCUGCCCCUCCCUGUGUCACCCUUCAUUACCUGUGUCUGCAGCGCCUAAAUCAGACGAUGGUGAGUCGAGUCUUAUUGUCCGCCCUACUUUCUAUAGCUUUACUCUCCACCUUACUUCUCGCUCGUUCGCUUAUGCAACCCCUAAGCUCGAAGGAAUUCUUUAGGCUUUGGAAUGUUCCAGGUCCAUAACCCCUGCUCAUUUUCAUUAGUAUUUGAUCAUCAGAUCCAUGAACAUCUAAAUGAAUAUCAGAAUACUUAAUUCUUUUUAAGCUAACUACUUAACUUUGUAUUGCUUAAUAUUUCUGAUGAGUAGAUAUGUUUCAUAAGUAGACUAAUUUAGAUAUAAAGUUUUUUUAGGGGAGCACAAACUUACUUUUGCCACAUCAUCUAUUUCGAGCAGAAGAGAAAUAUUGUAUGCAAUUUAAUGUGAUCAAAGCAUUGAUAUUGGUCACCACUAUAGUACGCCUUAGGAACCAACCAAGAUGUCAAAUAAUCUCAUUUAGCUGAUUGCUACACAAGAAUCUCUAGGGGAUCACUUGUUUGUAUCACUUGAUGUCAACUAAUAUCUUUUGAGUGCAAGUCUCUGCACAUAAAUACAAAUUGUAGAAGACAAUCUUUCAUAAAGGAAUAGAAUAUAAUACACAACUGCUUGUCACAUGAGGGGACAAAGAUAUGUAUGGAACAGACUGCUUGAGCACCUUGUAUAGAAGGGAGUUCCCUCAAAAGAAUCGAAUCUAAAUCUGCCAAGUCCUAACGUUCAUAGAAACAAUCAUAAUGGUUGUGUGCUAGAAGAUAUAGAGUAUAGUUAUACCUUGAAAUGAAUAUGCCGUCCAUAGGUUUUGCAACAAGAGACCUAUAAAGGACCACAGUGGCGGAGCUUUGUUGGGGCAAAGGCAUGCCGUGGCCCGCCCACCGUUGUGGCUAACACACGUAGGUAGCAAGUCUGGCAAGCUCAAGCUAACUGAUGGAUGUAUUCUGCCUCCGGAAGCAUGAAGCACACGCAAACAACACUCAAAUUAGAUGAUGAUAGGUGCGUGUUAAAAAUUCAUGUUAGUAUUAUAGACGUAUAUUUAUGCUUGUAAUAUGUCAUCUACACAUGAUUUUUGAACUCUCAUUUGGGUAGGCCCGCCCAGUUUUUCGGUCUUAGCUCCGCCACUUAAGGAGCACAUCAGUUUUGCAGAUAAAAGAGGCAUUCAUCAUAACAGAACACAUUGAUUCAAACACAAAAUCAAUAUAUCUUUGCUGUAGCUAUUUUAUCAUUGCAAAUAACAAAGUAUAGCUUUCUUGAUAAAUGCAUGAAGAUUGAAAAGGAACUACUGAAAGUCAUCCUGCUUUAAAUUAAAUUAUAAAGAGCUGCGUGAGAUAUCUUUUGGUGGGAUCAGACAAGGAAAAUAUUAAUAGUCCAAAUAAAGGUAAGAAAGAUGCAGGUUACCUUCAAAUGUUCCGAGAAAACUUGCACAAAAAAGAGCCACGUGCUGCAAGCCUCUGUAAUAUACUUCUCACCUUGUUGUAAGAGUAAAUUUGUAAGAAAAAUAGUCCCAUUUAUUUUAUUGGCCCUAUUAUGUUGCCAACACACAUUCUGAUAUUUGAACCGGCAAGAAUCACUUUGCUAUAUGAUACAUCUCCAACGUAUCUACUUUUCCAAACACUUUUGCCCUUGUUUUGGACUCUAGCUGGCAUGAUUUGAGUGAAACUAACCCGGACUGACGUUGUUUUCAGUAGAAUUGCCAUGAUCUUAUUUAUUGUGCAGAAAACAAAAGUUCUCGGAAUGACUUGAAAAUCCACGGAGAUAACUUUUGGAAAAUAUAAAAAAUACUGGCAAAAGAUGAUACCAGGGGGGCCACACCUUGUCCACGAGGGUGGGGGGAAAGCCCUCCCCCCUGGGCGCCCCCCCUAUCUCGUGGGCCCCCUAGAGCUCCGCCGACCUCAAUUCCAACUCCAUACAUUCCGUUUCACGGAGAAAAAAAUCAGAGAGAAAGUUUCAUCGCGUUUUACGAUACGGAACCACCGCCAAGCCCUAAUCUCUCUUGGGAGGGCUGAUCUGGAGUCCGUUCGGGGCUCCGGAGAGGGGGAUUCGUCGCUGUCGUCAUCAUCAACCAUCCUCCAUCACCAAUUUGAUGAUGCUCACCGCCGUGCGUGAGUAAUUCCAUCAUAGGCUUGCUGGACGGUGAUGGGUUGGAUGAGAUUUACCAUGUAAUCAAGUUAGAUUUGUUAGGGUUUGAUCCCUAGUAUCCACUAUGUUCUGAGAUUGAUGUUGUUAUGAUUUUGCUAUGCUUAAUGCUUGUCACUAGGGCCCGAUUGCCAUGAUUUCAGAUCUGAACCUAUUAUGUUUUCAUGAAUAUAUGUGAGUUCUUGAUCCUAUCUUGCAAGUCAAUAGUCACCUAUUAUGUGUUAUGAUCCGACAACCCCGAAGUGACAAUAAUCAGGAUACUUCUCGGUGAUGACCAUAGUUUGAGGAGUUCAUGUAUUCACUAUGUGCUAAUGCUUUGUUCUGGUUCUCUAUUAAAAGGAGGCCUUAAUAUCCCUUAGUUUCCACUAGGACCCCGCUGCCACGGGAGGGUAGGACAAAAGAUGUCAUGCAAGUUCUUUUCCAUAAGCAUGUAUGACUAUAUUCAGAAUACAUGCCUACAUUACAUUGAUGAAUUGGAGCUAGUUCUGUGUCACCCUAUGUUAUAGCUAUUACAUGAGGAAUCACAUCCGACAUAAUUAUCCAUCACUGAUCCAAUGCCUAUGAGCUUUUCACAUAUUGUGCUUCGCUUAUUUACUUUUCCGUUGCUAUUGUUACAAUCAUUACAAAACUACUAUCUUUACUUUUGCUACUGUUACCAUUACUAUCAUACUACUUGCUACUAAGUACUUUGCUACAGAUACUAAGUUAUCUAGGUGUGGUUGAAUUGACAACUCAACUGCUAAUACUUAAGAAUAUUCUUUGGCUGCCCUUGUGUCGAAUCAAUAAAUUUGGGUUGAAUACUCUACCCUCAAAAGUUGUUGCGAUCCCCUACACUUGUGGGUUAUCAAGACUAAUUUCUGGCGCCGUUGCCGGGGAGCAUAGCUCUAUUCUUUGAGUCACUUGGGAUUUAUAUCUGCUGAUCACUAUGAAGAAGUUGAAAGACGCAAGAACCAAUAUUUUGCCCUCAACUACGAGGGGAGGUAAGGAACUGCGAUCUAGCUCUGCACUAGAUUCUCCUUCCGUUAUUAGUAAGUUUGCGACACCUAAACCUGCUACUGCUAUGAAUUCUGAUAUGUCGCAUGUUAUUGAUGAUGCCACUUCUGCUAUGCAUGAUACUCAUGAUGAAACUGCUUCUGUGUGUGAUACUACUGUGCCAUUAGGUGAAUUUCUUGAUGAACAACUUGCUAGGGUUAGAGAGAAUGAAAUUAUUGAAGAUGCUAUUACUUAUGAUAGUGAUGAUGAAAGUUCUCCCCCUGAUUAUGAAUUACCUAUUGUUCCUGAGGGUUAUGUUAUGAAUGAGGAAGCUGCUAAAGCUAUUUUUGCUUGCAAAGAUAGAUAUGAUCUUAAAAAGUUAUUAGCUAAAUGGAAGCAGCAGUCCCUUCAUGCUAGAAUGAAACCUGACCCUGCUUUUGCUACUUCACCUAUCUGUGUUACUGAUAAGGAUUAUGAUUUCUCUAUUGAUCCUGAAAUAAUUACUUUGGUUGAAUCUGAUCCUUUUUAUGGCCUUGGAUCUGAAACUGUUGUGGCACAUCUUACCAAGUUAAAUGAUAUAGCCACCCUGUUUACUAAUGAUGAGAAGUCUCACUAUUAUUAUAUCCUUAAGAUAUUUCUGUUCUCAUUAAAGGGCGAUGCUAAGACUUGGUAUAAUUCCCUUGAUCCUAGUUGUGUGCGUAGUCCCCAGGAUAUGAUUUAUUACUUCUCUGCUAAAUAUUUUCCUGCUCAUAAGAAACAAGCUGCCUUGCGGGAAAUAUAUAAUUUUGUGCAAAUCAAAGAAGAGAGUCUCCCACAAGCUUGGGGAGGCUUCUUCGAUUACUUAAUGCUUUGCCUGAUCAUCCUCUUAAGAAAAAUGAAAUACUUGAUAUCUUUUAUAAUGGACUAACCGAUGCUUCCAAGGACUACUUGGAUAGUUGUGCUGGUUGUGUUUUCAGGGAAAGAUGAAUUACUAUUGAAUAAUAUGUUGACUAAUGAAAAUAAUUGGACUCUUCCUGAGCCAAUUCCUGAGGCAAUUCCUGAACCAAUUGAGCCAACUCCUGAGCCUAUUCCUAAACCCACUCCAAAGAAGAGAGGUUUUCUAUUUCUCAGUCCUGAAGAUAUGCAAGAGGCAAAGAAAUCAAUGAAAGAAAAAGGUAUUAAAGCUGAAGAUGUUAAGAAUUUACCUCCUAUUGAAGAAAUACAUGGUCUUAAUCUACCGCCUGUUGAAGAAAAUCAUUGUCUUGAUAACCCGACACAGGUAGUAAAGGUAAAUUCUCUCUAUAGAUAUGAUAAAGUUGAAAUUCCCUCUACUGAAUUUCAUAGCCCAUGCUUAGAUGAACUUGAUGACUUUAUGGCUAGACAAGAAAGUUUUAAUGCUUAUGUUGGUAGAGAAUUAAAGAAUAAUUCUUUCGAGAUAGAAUGCUUGAGUGAUUAUAUGGCUAGAGUUAAAGGUGAACUUAAACUCAUUAGCAAAUAUGCUUCUAUGGUUACCACUCAAGCUGAGCAAGUACUUAAAGCUCAAAGCGAUUUGCUCGAUGAAUUAAAUAAUAAACAUGAUUUUGCUGUUAGAGUGGCUACUAGAACUGGUAGAAUGACUCAGGAACCUUUGUAUCCUGAAGGCCACCCUAAGACAAUCGAGCAGGAUUCUCAGAGAAAUAAUUUAGAGGCACCUAGUUCUUCCAAAAAGAAGAAAAAGAAAAACGAUAGGACUUUGCAUGCUUCUAAUGAACCUGUUGUAGACACACCUGAGAAUCCCAAUGGUAUUUCUAUUUCUAAUGCUGAAACACAAUCAGGUGAUGAACAUGAAUCUACUGAUAAUGUUAAUGAUAAUGUUCAUGUUGAUGCUCGGCCUAGCAAAAAUAAUGAAGUAGAGAUUGAACCUGUUGUUGAUCUUGAUAACCCACAAUCAAAGAAUCAACAUUAUGAUAAGAGAGAUUUUGUUGCUAGGAAGCACGGUAGAGAAAGAGAACCAUGGGUUCAGAAACCCAUGCCCUUUCCUCCUAAGCCAUCCAAGACAAAGGAUGAUGAGGAUUUUGAGUGUUUUGCUGAAAUGAUUAGACUUAUCUUCUUACGUAUGCGCUUAACUGAUAUGCUUAAAUCAAACCCUUAUGCUAAAUAUAUGAAGGAUAUCAUUACAAAUAAAAGAAUGAAAUCGGAAGUUGAAAUUUCCACCAUGCUUGCUAAUUAUACUUUUAAGGGUGGAAUACCAAAGAAACUUGGAGACCCAGGGGUACCAACCAUACCAUGCUCCAUUAAAAUAAACUAUGUUAAAACUACUUUAUGUGAUCUUGGAGCCGGUGUUAGUGUUAUGCCUCUCUCUUUAUAUCGUAGACUUGAAUUGAAUAAGUUGACACCUACUGAAAUAUCUUUGCAAAUGGCAGAUAAAUCAACUGCUAUACCUGUCGGUAUUUGUGAGGAUGUGCCUGUUGUGGUUGCAAAUGUCACUAUCUGUAGCGACCAGACCUCAAACAGUCUGAUCUCUAUGCAUCAGUGUCAUCCCUGGAUCGGUAAUGCUGACACGCACAGUACUUGAAGGAUUUAUAACAGAGUAGCAAUCACACACUUAUUACAUCGAAUGUCUCAAAAGAGAACUUAUUACAAUAAAUAUGGCUUCAGGCCAUCUAAUAACGAUAACAGCGGAAUGCUUGGAAGAUAAGCGAGUCCAUCAACUCCAACGACAUCACUGAGUAUAAGACCAUGACCUAAGGCACCUUACUUGUCGUCUGAAAAGUCUGCAACAUGAACGUUGCAGCCCGAAAACGGGUCAUCACGUGGAAUAUGCUAGCAAUGUAACACAUAGAGAGUAAUGAACAGAUUAAUGCUAUACUACAUGCAUAUAUGGCUGGUGGAAAGCUCUAUGGUUACAGUUUUGCAUAAAGCCAAUUUUUCUCUACUGCAAAGGAAUAAAUUUUAUUUAACUAUCAUGGUGGUUGUUAAACAUUGAGAAGGGUACUCCAACUCAAUCCCAAUUAAACAUCAUCAUUAAACCCAACAAAUUAAUUUAAAGUAACAUGAUGAGAUUCACAUGAUAAUCCAGAUACUAGAUACUCAAAACGUCCAUAACCGGGGACAAGGCUAACCAUGAUUAGUUUAUACACUCUGCAGAGGUUUGCGCACUUUUACCCACAAGACUCGAUCUCCUCCUUUGGAUUUCUCGCACUACAUGGUGUUUGAGAAACGGAUGACCGAGACACAGUCUUUCAGAAGCAUAAACUCCCUACUCCGGGUAGACAGUUACACCUACUUUCCCCUACAUCUGCUAGUCUACCUUUUCAAGGGUUCACACAACUUAAUCAACUAUGCUAGAGCCCAUAGUAGCUUGUGGCUGCACACGGAAGUUUCUAGCAUGAAUAAUCUCAUAAUCCCUUUGAGCCUGGGCGGUGGUCCAUAGGAGAAUCACACGGUACCCCGAGAUUUUCAAAAAAAUACAGGCAACACUGGGUUCCCCAGGUGCCUCAAUCCACCCAGAUGUGAGUUUAAGUUGCCACCUUAAGUAAACCAUUAAAUAUCACUCUCACAUCUGUCAUGAAUACACUCACCCAAUCCACAUCUACUAGCAUAGCAUGGCAAUAUAAGCAAACGUAGAAGUAACUUCCAAAGGUUUGAUAAUAAAACAGGUAAUAGGUACUACCUCAUCUACUUCCCAAAACCCACAUACUAAUCAGAUCCUAACCAUGCAAUUGUUUGAGGGUUGAUCUAAUACAAUACAUCUGGGUAGUAGAGAAGUAUGAUCAAAGUGUUACUUGCCUUGCUGACGAUCCGUGAAACCUAGAGAUUCGAAGUAGCAAGCGGCGCACUCCGGGUACUCUAUCGCAAACAAACAAGCAUAGAAUAAGCACUCAUCUAAUGCACAGGUAAAACUCAAAUAGGAGAUCUAACCAGAAAGUUCAACUUAAGAACUCCGGUUUGCAAAAAGAAUCAAAUCAAACGAAGCAAUGAAAGUCAAACGGCGAAAGAAACAAGCUUCGUUUACUAAUCUGGACCUAAGUCAAAUUUUACAGUAGCAAAAACUUGUUUGAGUUGGUUAAACGGAAAGAGAGUUUCAAGACGAAACUCUAGGCGCUUGAAUCACCUAAUUCCGAUAAACGAGCGAAAAGUUAUACUAGAACGAAAAUCGGAUCAGAAAUCGCGAUCUCGAAUAAUCACGAAAAAUCUGAGAAAAAGAAAAACGGAUGAACAGGCUAACGAACGAACGUUCGCUGUCUGCGGCUAAACGACGAAAACCGUUCGUUAAAACAAACGAACGAACGGGCGUUCGCUAAAUAACUAAACCGGAAAAAAAUAAAAUCGAUCUAAAAAACGCAUCUCGGUUUUUUGAAAAAAAAUGAACAACUUUUUUUCCAAAAACCGGCGUCUACCUCGGGUUAUGUGUCGGCGGCAGCGGCGGGGUACUCCGGCGAGGGUCCGGCGGGGCGGCGGCNNNNNNNNNNNNNNNNNNNNNNNNNNNNNNNNNNNNNNNNNNNNNNNNNNNNNNNNNNNNNNNNNNNNNNNNNNNNNNNNNNNNNNNNNNNNNNNNNNNNNNNNNNNNNNNNNNNNNNNNNNNNNNNNNNNNNNNNNNNNNNNNNNNNNNNNNNNNNNNNNNNNNNNNNNNNNNNNNNNNNNNNNNNNNNNNNNNNNNNNNNNNNNNNNNNNNNNNNNNNNNNNNNNNNNNNNNNNNNNNNNNNNNNNNNNNNNNNNNNNNNNNNNNNNNNNNNNNNNNNNNNNNNNNNNNNNNNNNNNNNNNNNNNNNNNNNNNNNNNNNNNNNNNNNNNNNNNNNNNNNNNNNNNNNNNNNNNNNNNNNNNNNNNNNNNNNNNNNNNNNNNNNNNNNNNNNNNGAGGCGGCGGCGGCUAGGGUUAGGGCGGGGCUGGGCGACUCGGGCUAGGCUUCCCCGGCUUAUAAAGGCCGGCCGGGCUAGAGUCCGGGUCGGGUACGGCCUGGCUAGGUCGGUUGACUUUUUUUUUUAAAUAAUUUCGCGCAGAAAAACGAAUAAAAGAAAUACUAAAGAGACUCCAAAAAUCCUGAUAUAAAUUUUCUCCGACUUCUAAAAUCAAGCCGGACAAGAUGAACAUUUAUUUUGGACCUAAAUGCAAUUUUGAAAAAUGCACAUUUUUCCUAAAUUCAAAUAAAAUAGCCAAAAACUCUGAAAUAAAAUCUUAUUAGAUUUUUUAUUAAAUCCUCAAUAUUUAUUUAUUUUGGGAAAGUUAUUUUAUUUCCUCUCUCAUAUUUUUAUAAUAGAAAUAAUUGAAGAUAAAAUAAAUAAAAUCAAAUGAUCCUAUUUUCAAAAUUUGAGAAAACUCAAAUAUGAAAAUAACGAAAUCCCCAACUCUCUCCGUGGGUCCUUGAGUUGCGUAGAAUUUCUAGGAUCGAGCCAAAAUGCAAUAAAAUAUGAUAUGCAAUGAUGAUCUAAUGUAUAACAUUCCAAAUUGAAAAUUUGGGAUGUUACAAACCUACUCCCCUUAAGAUGAGUCUCGCCCUCGAGAUUCGGGUUGGCUAGAAAAUAGGUGAGGGUGGUCCUUCAACAGAUCUUCCUCUCGCUCCCUGGUAGCUUCAUCUUCAGUAUGGUGGCUCCACUGAACUUUGCAAAAAUUCAUGACCUUGAUGCGGGUGACUCGGCUGGCAAACUCGAGAAUCUUGUCUGGUUUCUCCUCAUAGGUCAAAUCACUAUCCAGCUGAAUCGCUUCCAGCGGCACUAUAUCUCUCAGCGGUAUAUCAGCCAUCUCUGCGUGGCACUUCUUCAACUGUGAAACAUGGAAUACAUCAUGAACUCCUGACAAUCCUUCAGGCAAUUCUAACUUGUAAGCAACUUCUCCCAUACGCUCCAAAACUUUGUAUGGUCCUACAAAACGUGGCGCUAAUUUUCCCUUAACUCUGAAGCGCUUAACUCCUCGAAGUGGAGAUACACGAAGAUAAACUCUGUCUCCGACCUCGUAAGCUAUCUCCUUGCGUUUAGAAUCUGCAUAGCUCUUCUGUCUGGACUGGGCUACCUUGAGCCUAUCGCAAAUCAACUUCACCUUCUGUUCAGACUCCUUAAUCAAAUCUGGUCCAAACAACUAGUGGUCCCCAACUUCAUCCCACAACAAUGGGGUCCUGCACCUCCUUCCGUACAAGGCUUCGAAAGGGGCCAUCUUCAAACUGGAUUAAUAACUGUUGUUGUAAGAGAACUCCGCAUACGGCAAAUUCUCGUCCCAACUAGAUCCAUAAUCGAGCGCACAAGCUCUCAGCAUGUCUUCCAGAAUCUGAUUGACUCUCUUGGUCUGUCCAUCUGUCCACGGAUGAAAGGCCGUACUGAACCCUAGCUUGGUACCCAAAGUUUCGUGCAACUGAUUCCAGAACUUUGAGGUAAACUAGGUUCCUCUAUCUGAUACAAUGCUCCUCGGAACUCCAUGCAGACAUAUGAUCCUGAUCAUGUAUAUCUUGGCCAACUUAGCACUGGUGUAAGUGGUCUUUACUGGGAUGAAAUGAGCUACCUUCGUCAAUCGAUCGACUACAACCCAUAUCGAGUCAUAGCCUGAACGAGUCCUGGGCAAUCCCGUGAUAAAAUCCAUGCCUAGUUUAUCCCACUUCCAUUCGGGGAUCGGCAAUGGCUGUAGCAAUCCUGCUGGCUUCUGAUGCCCUGCCUUCACUCUCUGACAUACAUCACAAACUGCUACAUACUCCGCAAUAUCCUUCUUCAUUUCAGUCCACCAGAAAGUGUCCUUCAAAUCCAGAUACAUCUUGGUAUUUCCUGGGUGAUUCGAGUACGGCGAAUCAUGGGCCUCUUGCAGAAUCAACUUCCUGAUCUUCGGGUCAUUGGGCACAUAAACGCGGUCUUCAAACCAUAAGGUAUCAUGCUCAUCCUCACGAAAUCCUUUAGCCUUUCCUUCGCUCAUCCUCUCCUUUAUCUCCGCAAUCUCCUUGUCAGUCUUCUGAGCUUCUCUGAUCUUAUCCAUCAAAGUCGACUGAAUCUCCAAUGCUGCAACAUAGCCUCUCGGAACUAUCUCCAAACAUAGCUCACGAAGAUCCUCGGCUAACUCCCUUGGUAACUCUCCGGUCAAGAGUGUGUUGACAUGGCUCUUGCGGCUCAAUGCGUCGGCUACUACGUUAGCCUUUCCAGGGUGAUAAUGCAAUCUCAUAUCAUAAUCCUUGAUGAGCUCCAACCAUCUCCUUUGCCUGAGAUUUAACUCCUUCUGUGUGAAAAUGUACUUCAAACUCUUAUGAUCUGUGUACACCUUACAAUGAUUUCCGAUGAGAAAAUGUCUCCAAGUCUUCAAUGCAUGCACUACGGCUGCUAACUCCAAAUCAUGGGUAGCAUAAUUCAACUCAUGGGGCUUAAGUUGUCGUGAGGCAUAUGAAACAACUCUUCCCUCCUGCAUAAGCACUGCUCCAAGUCCUCGACGUGAAGCGUCACAAUACACCUCAUAAUCCUUGCACUGAUCUGGCAGAAUCAACACAGGUGAUGUAACCAAACGUUUCUUCAACUCUUGAAAACUGGCCUCACAUUCCUCUGUCCAUUUAAAUUUGGUGUCCCUCUUCAACAACUUCUUCAUGGGCUUAGCAAUCUUCGAGAAAUUCUCAAUGAACCUCCGACAGUAUCCUGCGAGUCCAAGAAAACUCCGGAUCUCUCCAACUGUUGUUGGUGCUUCCCAAUUUGUCACAAUGACAACUUUGGUGGGGUCUACUGCUAUUACUUCUCCGGAUAUAACAUGUCCGAGGAAUCCAACUUCCUUCAACCAAAACUCACAUUUGCUGAACUUGGCAUAUAACUGAUGUUCUCUGAGCUUCCCAAGUACCAAACGCAAAUGCUCCUUAUGCUCCUCUUCAUUCUUUGAGUAGACCAAAAUAUCAUCAACGAACACCACGACGAACUUAUCCAAAAACUCCAUAAACGCCUUAUUCAUCAUGUUCAUGAAACAUGCAGGUGCGUUAGUCAGACCAAAUGACAUAACGAUAUACUCAUACAGAUCGUACCUGGUGGUAAAAGCCGUCUUAGGUAUAUCCUGCUCUUGAAUCUUCAACUGGUGGUAUCUUGGCCGCGGAUCGAUCUUGGAAAAUACCUUAGCUCCUUGCAAUCGGUCAAACAAGUAAUUGAUCAUCGACAGUGGGUACUUGUUCUUGACUGUCACCUCAUUCAAUCCUCGAUAAUCAACAACCAUCCUUAAUGAUCCAUCCUUCUUCUCCACUAGAAGCACUGGCAAUCCCCAAGGUGAAGAACUUGGGCGAAUAUAGCCUUUAUCCAGUAACUCCUUAAUCUGCUUCUUAAUUUCUUCCAAAUCUUUUGCGGGCAUCCUGUACGGUCUCUUAGAUAUAGGCCCUGUGCCUGGCAAAAGCUUAACCAAAAACUUAAUGUCCCUAUCCGGUGGCAUGCGUGGCAACUCUUCUAGAAAUACGUCAGGAAAAUCCUUCACCACUGGUACUUCCUCCUAUGCAACUCUUGAUAAGGAAUUUACUUGAGUCCUCUUCGGCACAUACCAGGAUACAUACUUCAUCCUUCUUCCUUCUGGCGUGGUAAGCAAAAUCGACUUACUGGCGCAAUCGAUGUUUCCUCCAUACAUCGAUAGCCAAUCCAUACCCAGAAUCACAUCCAAACCUUGCGACUCCAAAACUAUCAAAUCCGAAGGGAAAACAUGUCUGCCUAUGGCCAAUGGUACUUGAAAACAUCCUUGACUGGCCAUAUACUCCGCUCCUGGUGAGCUUACUAACAUAGGUGUUCUAAGAACUUUGGUAGGCAGUUUAUACUUAUCCACAAAUCCCCUUGAUAUGUAUGAAUACGAUGCACCAGUAUCAAAAAGAAUGAUUGCAGUAAAUGACUUAACCAAAAACUUACCUAUUACUGCAUCUGGCUGGGCUUCAACCUCCUUCACGCUAACGUGGUUCACCUAUCCCUUGUUGAAAGGGUUCGGCUUCUUCCCAGAGCUUCCAUUGCCAUUUCCAUUCUUUGCUCAGGACAUUCAGUGGCAUAAUGUCCAGUCUUCUGGCAUUUGUAGCAGGUAAUGUGGCUCAGAUCCCUCUUGGCUGGUGUUGAUGGGUUGGUGCGGUUUUGUCCGUUGCUUCCUCCAUUCCCAUUACCAUUCGUGGGGCCACUAUGGUUGUGCGAACUACCUCCUCCAUGGGUAUGCUAAAAAGAUCCUCCUAAGUUCGGGGUAAAACGAGGCUUCUGCUGAGCUCCAGAAUUGUACUUCCCUUGUCCAUACUUCCUCUUGCGGCUGUCAAUCUGCUGCUGCUUCCCUUCAAUCAUGAGAGCACGAUCUACCAACUCCUGGUAGUUGUUGAAGGUUGCUACCAUCAACUGCAUGCUCAGCUCAUCAUUCAGUCCUUCCAGAAACUUCUCCUGCUUAGCUGCAUCCGUAGCAACGUCAUCUGGGGCAUAACAUGCUAGCUUACUAAAAUCAUCCACACACUGGCCAACAGUACGUCCUCCUUGGCGCAAGUUACGAAACUCACGCUUCUUCAUGGCCAUAGCUCCUGCUGAAACAUGGGCAGUACGGAAAGCCUGCUGAAACUGAUCCCAUGUGACAGUGUCGACGGGAUAAGUGGCUGUAAAAUUCUCCCACCAUGAUGCCGCGGGUCCAUCUAGCUGAUGUGCGGCAAAACGCACCUUCUCCGCAUCUGUGCAUCCUGCAGUGGUUAACUCCCUUCCCAUCUUGCGGAGCCAAUCAUCUGCAACUAUUGGCUCGGUGCUACUAGAGAACACCGAUGAAUUCAGCCUCAAGAAACGGGCUAAGUGAUCAACAGGUGGUGGUGGUGGUGGUGGUGGUGGGUUGUUGUUGUUCCCCUGAUUCUGAUUCUGGACUAAGAUCUGCAUCAAUGCAUUCUGCUGCUGGAUCAACUGAGUGAGCUCCGGUGGGAAAGCAAAUCCAUUGUCACGUCUGGGAGGCAUCUGAGAGUUUAGAAAAGAUGAGAAUACAAAAUAGAAUGAGGUCUAGAGAGAAAACAUUACCCAUAUGCACAUGAGACAAAAGCAAACAAUGUCACUUCAAUCAAUUCAAACAAAGGCAUACAACGGUCUAGCUAUCGUUACAAAAGUGCUCGGACUAUACUAUAUACAUGGAGGAAUACUACUACUGUUAUGGUGGUCGACUAGAAAAAUUGAUCGGUCAAAGACUCCAUGAUAUAUGCUCCAGCUUCAUCAACAAAGUCAUCAUCGCUAUCGUCUGGGUCUGAGUCGGUGUCAUGAUGAUGAUGUAGUUCUCCGGACAAGUGCAAUCAUUGUCUUCUUCUCCAGUGGGAAAUCCCAUAAACACCUUUAGCUUCUUCUUCAGAUCAUCAUUCUUCUCCAUGAGUGUCGUCAUUUCCUCCUCAUAUCCAUCGCGUGUAGACUUGAGUUCUUCUUCCAGCUCCGUGAUCUUGGUCAAUGCCUUCUUCAGAUCUAUCAUGCCUGCGCACAUCUGGUUCUCCAGGUGACGAAUGUGCUGGUUUAACUCCUGGAUGAAAGCUGCAAUUGAUCUAUCCUUCCUGGUGUUGAUCAUCUCCCAUUGCUCAUCUCGGCGCCCACAAAUCUGGUAGAUAUUAUCCUUAAGAUCCUUGUGGUAAACUUCUCCAAUGUGUCCCAUUGUGAUGUGGGCUGCCAUGCUCUUUCCUAGACUCCAGGUUGGUGCAUCAAAGGAAAACUCUAUGGGCUCAGUGACGGGCAUGAACGUCCUUCCUGGAACUUGAACUUGAAUCAUCCAACGCUCCUCUUCUGGUAAAGUGGCGAUGUAGGUCCCGGUGAAGCUUGGUACUCCAAUGUUCAAGUACUUAGCGACUUCAUUCAAGUGGCGUCCAAAGGGUGUAUCUUCAUCCGGUUGCGUGAACUUGUUCCUUGCAUCCGCCAUCCUAAAAGAGUGGAAAAGAUGAGAAGUCAGAAAUGAGAAGAGAGAGUAGUGAUCUAGGGCUUUAGCUUAGUGGUAGUGUCCUACAGUCAGCGUGUGCUCUGAUACCAUCUUGUAGCACCAGACCUCAAACAGUCUGAUCUCUGUGCAUCAGUGUCAUGCCUGGAUCGGUAAUGCUGACACACACAGUACUUGAAGGAUUUAUAGCAGAGUAGCAAUCACACACUUAUUACAUUGAAUGUCUCAAAAGCGAAAUUAUUACAAUAAAUAUGGCUUAAGGCCAUCUAAUAACGAUAACCGCAGAAGGCUUGGAAGAUAAGCGAGUCCAUCAACUCCAACGGCAUCACUGAGUAUAAGACCACGACCUAAGGCACCUUACUCGUCGUCUGAAAAGUCUGCAACAUGAACGUUGCAGCCCAAAAACAGGUCAACACAUGGAAUAUGCUGGCAAUGUAACACAUAGAGAGUAAUGAAAAGAUCAAUGCUAUACUACAUGCAUAUAUGGCUGGUGGAAAGCUCUAUGGUUACAGUUUUGCAUAAAGCCAAUUUUUCCCUACUGCAAAGGAAUAAAUUUUAUUUAACUAUCAUGGUGGUUGUUAAACAUUGAGAAGGGUACUCCAACUCAAUCCCAAUUAAACAUCAUCAUUAAACCCAACAAAUUAAUUUAAAGUAACAUGAUGAGAUUCACAUGAUAAUCCAGAUACUAGAUACUCAAAACGUCCAUAACCGGGGACACGACUAACCAUGAUUAGUUUAUACACUCUGCAGAGGUUUGCGCACUUUUCCCCACAAGACUCGAUCUCCUCCGUUGGAUUUCUCGCACUACAUGGUGUUUGAGAAACGGAUGACCGAGACACAGUCUUUCAGAAGCAUAAACUCCUACUCCGGGUAGACAGUUACACCUACUUUCCCCUACAUCUGCUAGUCUACCUCUUCAAGAGUUCACACAACUUAAUUAACUAUGCUAGAGCCCAUAGUAGCUUGUGGCUGCACACGGAAGUUUCUAGCAAGAAUAAUCUCAUGAUCCCUUUGAGCCUGGGUGGCGGUCCAUAGGAGAAUCACACGGUACCCCGGGAUUUCUAAAAAAAUACAGGCAACACUGGGUUCCCCAGGUGCCUCAAUCCACCCAGAUGUGAGUUUAAGUUGCCACCUUAAGUAAACCAUUAAAUAUCACUCUCACAUUUGUCAUUAAUACACUCACCAAUCCACAUCUACUAGCAUAGCAUGGCAAUAUAAGCAAACGUAGAAGUAACUUUCAAAGGUUUGAUAAUAAAAAAGGUAAUAGGUACUACCACAUCUACUUCCCAAACCCACAUACUAAUCAGAUCCUAACCAUGCAAUUGUUUGAGGGUUGAUCUAAUGCAAUAAAUCUGGGUAGUAGAGAAGUAUGAUCAAAGUGUUACUUGACUUGCUGAUGAUCCGUGAAACCUAGAGAUUCGAAGUAGCAAGCGGCGCACUCCGGGUACUCUAUCGCAAACAAACAAGCAUAGAAUAAGCACUCAUCUAAUGCACAGGUAAAACUCAAAUAAGAGAUCUAACCAGAAAGUUCAACUUAAGAACUCCGGUUUGCAAAAAGAAUCAAAUCAAACGAAGCAACGAAAGUCAAACGGCGAAAGAAACAAGCUUCAUUUACUAAUCUGGACCUAAGUCAAAUUUUAUAGUAGCAAAAACUUGUUUGAGUUGGUUAAACGGAAAGAGGGUUUCGAGACGACACUCUAGGCGCUUGAAUCGCCUGAUUCCGAUAAACGAGCGAAAAGUUAUACUAGAACGAAAAUCGGAUCAGAAAUCGCGAUCUCGAAUAAUCACGGAAAAUCCGAGAAAAAGAAAAACGGACGAACAGGCUAACGAACGAACGUUCGCUGUCUGCGGCUAAACAAUGAAAACCGUUUGUUAAAACGAACGAGCGAACGGGCGUUCGGUAAAUAACUAAACCAGAAAAAAAUAAAAUCGAUCUAAAAAAACAAUAAAAUCUCGUUUUUUUUGGAAAAAAAAUGAACAACUUUUUUUCCAAAAACCGGCGGCUACCUCGGGUUACGUGUCAGCGUGCAGCGGCGGGGUACUCCGGUGAGGGUCCGGCGGGGCGGCGGCGGUCAGCGGCGGGGUCCGACGGCGUCGGGCGGCGGCGACGGCGGCGGUGGCUAGGGUUAGGGCGGGGCUGGGCGUCUCGGGCUGGGCUUCCCCGGCUUAUAAAGGCCGGCUGGUCUAGAGUCCAGGUCGGGUAUGGCCCGGCUAGGUCGGUUAACUUUUAAAAAAAAUCGCGUAGAAAAAUGAAUAAAAGAAAUACUAAACGGACUCCAAAAAUCCCAAAAUAAAUUUCCCCGACUUCUAAAAUCAAACCAGACAAGAUGAACAUUUAUUUGGGGCCUAAAUGCAAUUUUGAAAAACACCAUUUUUCCUAAAUUCAAAUAAGAUAGCCAAAAACUCCGAAAUAAAAUCUUAUUUGAAUUUUUUUAUUAAAUCCUCAAUAUUUCUUUAUUUUGGGAAAGUCAUUUUAUUCCCUCUCUCAUAUUUUUAUAAUAGAAAUAAUUGAAGAUAAAAUAAGUAAAAUCAAAUGAUCUUAUUUUCAAAAUUUGAGAAAACUCAAAUAUGAAAAUAAUGAAAUCCCCAACUCUCUCUGUGGGUCCUUGAGUUGCGUAGAAUUUCUAGGAUCGAGCCAAAAUGCAAUAAAAUAUGAGAUGCAAUGGUGAUCUAAUGUAUAACCUUCCAAAUUGAAAAUUUGGGAUGUUACACUAUCUUAUCGGACUUUGUUAUUCUUGAUAUUCCCGAGGAUGAUAGUAUGUCGAUUAUCCUUGGUAGACCCUUUUGGAAUACUGUAGGGGCUGUUAUUGAUUGCAACAAAGGUAAUGUCACUUUUCAUGUUAAUGGUAAUGAGAAUACGGUACACUUUCUGAGGAAACAAUCUCAAGUUCAUAGCAUCAAUUCUAUUGGAAAAGUUCCAACUAUUAUUAUUGGAGGUUUUUAAUUUCCUCUCCCUACUGUCAAGAAAAAGUAUGAUGUUCUUAUUAUUGGGGAUGUUCAUAUCCCUGUUGAGGUAACCUAGUGUUAUUUGAAAUUUCUCCGGUUCUGUGUUAUUCGGAAUGAGUUUGUUAACAAGACUUGAUCAACCUUGUUAGUGGAUUCAUUUUGAUGAUCAUGAGAUGGAUGAAACUAGAUGGCACAACCUUCUGUACCCUCUUUUUACUUUCUGUUAUUUAGAAUAAAUAAAGCAAAAAUAGUAUUAUCUGUCUGUUUUCUGAAUUAUCUGUGCAAUAAAAAAUAUCCCGAAAAUAAAAGUGCUCCAAAUGCCUUGCAAAUUUAGUAUUAUUUUUUAUGGAUUAUUUGAGGAUUUUAGGCACUGAAAACACUGCAGGAGGGGCAAGCACCUGGCCACGAGGGUGGAGGGCGCGCCCACACCCCCUGGGCGCGCCACCUAUCUCGUGGGCUCACGGUGGCCCCCUCCACUUAUUCCUACACCCACACACUCCAUCUUCUUCCCAAAAAAAUCCUCAUCCAGCUCAAGCACGAGUUCUAGCUCAUUUUGCUGCGAUUUUCGAUCUCCUUGCUCAAAGCUCCAUUCACAAAACUGCUUUGGGAGAUUGUUGCUUGGUAUGUGACUCCUCCAUUGGUCCAAUUAGUUUUUGUUCUAGUGCUUUAUUCAUUGCAAAUUUUUGCUGCAUAGGUGACCCUGUUCUUGAGCUUUCAUGUCAAAUAUAUGAGGUCCCAAGUAAUUCUAAUGCAUGAUAUAGGCUCUAGGCACUUGUAGGAGCAGUUGCUACCAAUCUUGUUUAGUUUUACUCACUUUUAUUUUGAAGUUACUAAAAAUUACAGAAUUUUUUCAGAAAAAGAAAUAUGUCUAGGAGAAUGUACCAAGGUGGUUCUUCAACAAAGAAAGGAUCUAGGCGUGCUAUGCGUGAGCAAGACGAUGAGCUACCAAGGGAUGCCGAAGUGCGAGCUUGUGAGUGGCCAUUAGACGAGUUUAUGGUUAAUGCAGGCAUCAAGGAUGAAUUUGACGCAUAUGUGCGUAAUGCCGAUCUUGAGGACUUCUUACAAGAUAAGUGUCCUCAGUACUAUCAAUUGACUGAUUCAUUCAUAAGAAGGUUUAAAUAUAAAUCUUCGCGUAAUUCUCAGAGUGUCCUGUUUGAUAUUUAUGAUAAAUCUUAUACCAUGGACUUAGAAGAUUUUACAACUGCUUGCAAACUCCCGCAGUGGGGCAAUGUUCAUGAACCCCAUAAAUCUGAAUAUAAAGACUUUCUUGCUAGUAUUACUGUGGGAGAAUCUAGGGACAUAUCACAAGCUACCAUAGGGAGCAUUCAUUUUCCUGCUAUACAUUAUUUUGCUUUCUUCAUUGGUAGAUGCAUUAAUGGUAAAGAUGAAGCAUGUCAUAUGUGUGUCUCUGAUCUUUGUGUCCUCAAGAGUGCUGUGUUAGGUAAUAAAGAUUACAACUUGGGGGCAAUAGUCACACGUAGGUUGCAUAAUAAUGUAUGUCUGGAGAUUUAUUUGGGGGUAUUUAUGCGACCCGUGUUGCUAAUUAUCUUGGUAUAGCCCCACGAGAGGAGGAUAUGGUGUUGCCUCCUGCUUAUUUAGAUUAUGACGCGAUGGUCAAACAUCAUUUUCUUUUGAGCAAUGAACAAUUCCUCCAGUAUCGACUAAUCUUUGACAGACGUAGCUCUGUCCAUGUUACUCUCCCUGCUCCUUCCCUUUUUUAUUACCAUGCAAAACGAAGAUAUGUUGUUACCAGGGAGGAGGCAGCUGAACACGAGGGGAGAGCGGAGGCGGCUCGCCAACAUGCCGCAGCUCAGGAUGCAAUUGCUGCUGCAUCUCAGUACGACCCCAGUUACAACUACGGAUAUCAACCAGGUUACCCUUGGCAUUAGACCAACUUAGGCCAAAAGCCUAAGCUUGGGGGAGUACGUAUUUCUCACCGACUAUACAUUCAUGUUCACACACUAUUCUAGUCGUCGAUGCUUAUACUCUUUCGUUGUAUUAUCCAUGCUAGUUUAAUUUAUUUUUCUAGCUUUCUUGUUGUGUGUUUGAUAAACCUUAAGAAAAAACAAAAAAAUUAAUUAGUUUACUUUCCAUGCUUGCAGUAGAAAUUAAAAUGAAAACCCAAAAAAGAUUUCUCGUUCUUCUUUUACUUGUUGGGAGCUUUCCCGUGUAAAUAGUUUUAUUUCUUUUCCUUCCUUUCGGGGUCGAGAGUAGAAGACCAUAUUGAAAAUGCUUAGUGGCUCUCAUAUGCAUGAUUGUUGAUUUAAUUUAGAGGCCAUAUUGUUUUGUCUUCUCUCUUGAGUUGAAUGCUUGCAGAUUCCAGCUUAGUCUAAUGCACGUGCACUAUUAUUAUUAUACACAUCGUUCGGUCGUGCAAGUGAAAGGCAAUAAUGACGAUAUAUGAUGGACUAAUUGAGAUGAGAGAAGCUGGUAUGAACUCGACCUCUCUUGUUUUUGUAAAUAUGAUGAGUUAAUCAUUCCUGAUUCAGCUUAUUAUGAAGUAAACAUAUUUGCAAUGAAAUUUAGAGAUUAUAGCUGCUUGUGCCAUGCUUAAUUAACUAUGACUUAUAAUGGUUUACCUUGCGUGCCAACAUGCUAUUAAAAUGAUUGUGAUGUGGUAUGAUGGGAUGGUAUCCUCCUUUGAAUAAAUUGAGUGACUCGACUUGGCACAUGUUCACGCAUGUAGUUGAAACAAAUCAACAUAACCUUCACGAUAUUUAUGUUCAUGGUGGAUUAUAUCCUACUCAUGCUUGUACUCGGUGUGAAUUAAUUUUAAUGCAUGUUCAUGACUGUUGUCGCUCUCUCAGUUGGUCGCUUCCCAGUCUUUUGCUAGCCUUCACCUGUACUAAGCGGGAAUACUGCUUGUGAAUCCAAACUCCUUAAACCCCAAAGUUGUUCCAUAUGAGUCCACCAUACCUUCCUAUAUGCGGUAUCUACCUGCCGUUCCAAGUAAAUUUGUAUGUGCCAAACUCCAAACCUUAAAAUGAAAUUCUGUUUUGUAUGCUCGAGCAGCUCAUGUUUCAACUAGGGUUGCAUGUAUCUUCCAUGCUAGGUGGGUUAUUCUCAAGAGGAGUGGACUCCGCUCCUCAUUCACGAGAAAAGGGCCGGUAACCAGGAUGCCCAGUCCCAUGAUCCAAAAAGAUCAAAGCAAAUCAAAAUAAUUAAACAAAACUUCCCCAGGGCUGUUGUUAGUUGGAGGCACUCGUUGUUUCGAGCAAGCCAUGGAUUGAUGCUUGUUGGUGGUGGGGAGUAUAAACUUUUACCAUUCUGUUUGGGAACUGCCUAUAAUGCAUAUAGUAUGGAAGAUAUAGCCAUCUCAUAGUUGUUGCGUUGACAGUAAAAAUAUGCCGCUCAAAAUGUUAUUUAUCUCUAUUUUAAAAAUCGAGCUUUGGCACCUCUACAAAUCCCUGCUUCCCUCUGCGAAGGGCCUAUCUAUUUACUUUUAUGUUGAGUCAUCACCUUCUUAUUAAAAAGCACCUACUGGAGAGCACACUAUUAUUUGCAUGUAUUACUAUUGGUUUAUAUUGGGUAUGACUUGACUGGAUCUCUUUUACCAUGAAUUACAAUGUUUAGUCAGUCCUUGAUCUUUAAAGGUGCUCUGCAUUUAUGUUUUGCGGUCUCAGAAAGGGCUAGCGAGAUACCAUCUUGUUAUAUCGUAUUAUGAUUGUUUUGAGAAAGUGUUGUCAUCCGAGUUUUAUUAUUAUUGCUCGCUACCUAAUUAUGCCAUUGAUAUGAGUAAAUGUGAGACCUAAGUGUUAUUGUGAGUAUGGUUAGUCCAUAAUAUUUGCUGAAAACUUGAAUGCUCGCUUUACAUAUUUACAACAACAAGAAUAAAUAGAGUUUGUAAAAGUUUUUCUAUAUCACUUUCAGUUUAUCAACUGAAUUGCUUGAGGACAAGCAAAGGUUUAAGCUUGGGGGAGUUGAUACAUCUCCAACGUAUCUACUUUUCCAAACACUUUUGCUCUUGUUUUGGACUCUAACUGGCAUGAUUUGAAUGAAACUAACCCGGACUGACGCUGUUUUCAGUAGAAUUGCCAUGAUGUUGUUUAUUGUGCAGAAAACAAAAGUUUUCGGAAUGACAUGAAAAUCCACGGAGAUAACUUUUGGAAAAUAUAAAAAAUACUAGCAAAAGAUGAAGACCAAGGGGCCUACACCCUCUCCACGAGGGUGGGGGGCGCGCCCUCCCCCUGGGCGCGCCCCCCAUCUCGUGGCCCCCCUGGAGCUCCGCUGACCUCAAUUCCAACUCUAUAUAUUCCGUUUCACGGAAAAAAAAUAAAAGAGAAAGUUUUAUCGCGUUUUACGAUACGGAGCCGCCGCCAAGCCCUAAUCUCUCUCGGGAGGGCUGAUCUGGAGUCUGUUCGGGGCUUCGGAGAGGGGGAUUCGUCGCCGUCGUCAUCAUCAACCAUCCUCCAUCACCAAUUUCAUGAUGCUCACCGCUGUGCGUGAGUAAUUCCAUCGUAGGCUUGCUGGACAGUGAUGGGUUGGAUGAGAUUUACCAUGUAAUCAAGUUAGAUUUGUUAGGGUUUGAUCCCUAGUAUCCACUAUGUUCUGAGAUUGAUGUUGUUAUGACUUUGCUAUGCUUAAUGCUUGUCACUAGGGCCCGAGUGCCAUGAUUUCAGAUCUGAACCUAUUAUGUUUUCGUGAAUACAUGUGAGUUCUUGAUCCUAUCUUGCAAGUCAAUAGUCACCUAUUAUGUGUUAUGAUCCGACAACCCCGAAGUGAAAAUAAUCGGGAUACUUCUCGGUGAUGACCAUAGUUUGAGGAGUUCAUGUAUUCACUAUGUGCUAAUGCUUUGUUCCGAUUCUCUAUUAAAAGGAGGCCUUAAUAUCCCUUAGUUUCCACUAGGACCCCGCUGCCACGAGAGGGUAGGACAAAAGAUGUCAUGCAGAUUCUUUUCCAUAAGCAUGUAUGACUAUAUUCGCAAUACAUGCCUACAUUACAUUGAUGAAUUGGAGCUAGUUCUGUGUCACCCUAUGUUAUAGCUAUUACAUGAGGAACCGCAUCCGACAUAAUUAUCCAUCACUGAUCCAAUGCCUACGAGCUUUUCACAUAUUGUGCUUCGCUUAUUUACUUUUCCGUUCCUAUUGUUACAAUCAUUACAAAACUACUAUCUUUACUUUUGCUAGUGUUACCAUUACUAUCAUACUACUUGCUACUAAGUACUUUGCUGCAGAUACUAAGUUAUCCAGGUGUGGUUUAAUUGACAACUCAACUGCUAAUACUUAAGAAUAUUCUUUGGCUCCCCUUGUGUCGAAUCAAUAAAUUUGGGUUGUAUACUCUACCCUCGAAAGCUGUUGCGAUCCCCUACACUUGUGGAUUAUCACUAUACAAUACUCACUUGUUCAUGCAACUACGCCUGGCUUUAAUAUGACAAUCAUUCCAAUAUUUUUACAUAAUGGUUUAGACAAACUUCCCCAUUUGUGAUAACUUGGAAGAAAUUUGUUGAAUCUCCCAAAAAAGACCAAACAACAAUGAAGAUAAAUUAGGCUACAGUCAUUAAACUCCAACUACAAAUGCAAUAGGACCAGACCUGCAAAACACACAACACUCAUCAUCACUUUAUCUCACCAUGGAUAAAUCCUAUGACUGAAUUAUAUAUAAACUAAAAUCCCAUUAACAACAGUCAACAUAACCUUGAUCGCCAUGUAUGAGUUAGCCUGAUGCAGAGAAUAUCAAUAAUGGAAUUAAGAAAGACAAAUGAAUAAACCAAGCUUGGGCUACACCACUAACAUCAUAGUCUAAACUUGAUUCGCACAUCAAUAUCUUAAACUAAUAAGUGACAAAAAUGCAGGUAAAGGAAACAGUUUCAUGUAUAAACAGGGAGUGGUGAAAUGAACCUUUAGCACAAGCUCAUGUAGAAACAAUUUCAUGUUACACACUCUCAAUGUUCUGGCAAUUUGUAAAUGGCCCAAUGCCUGCUUGUCCUCUCACAUGCCACCGCAUCCAUACAAAGAGCAGUGAUAUACAUGCGACAUUAUGUUGUCUGAUAUUUCUACAAUACCAUCAACACAAGCAUCCAUGCCCAUAGGCCAUGGUUAUCCCAGUAGAUGAAAGAUCAAGUAAAGAAUCAAGUGAAUCUGCUAGCCACGUUGAGUCGUACAACCAUCAGGGUAAAAGUAUAGUACACAAGGCAUUACCGAGCAUCGAAUUGCAAAGCUAUCCAGGAGCUCGCCUAGUCUGAAAUCAACUGAUGUGACCUCGUGGUAGCCUGGUAGGCCUAGUCUGAAAGGACAACCAAGGGUUGGCACUAUAUAUACUCAUCUAAAUCUCAAAAAUACAUGAACAGAUUCAUAAACAUCAUUAUAUGUGACAAUAAAAUUGCCCAGUGACAAAAUAAUGCCAAUGUAAAUACUGAAAAGAAAUGUUCAUCAUAGCUGUAUGACUUACAUUUUCCUAUAAACAUAGAUAAAUAUGCAUCACUUGGUCGUUAGUGGCAGUAUUAAGGGCCAACAGAAUAUGCAAGAACAUAAACGAUAAUGCAGCAUCUCACAAAUAAAAAAUGAUAAUGCGGCAAUAAAGUCCAUAGUAGAAUAAAGAAGAUAACUUGGACGUUCGAAGCCAGUCAAAUAAAUAAGUCGACGUCCACUUUUCAAAUAAAAAUGACUUUUGACCUUUUUUCUAAUUUUUGAGAUAUAUCUUCAAUCUCUUGCAUCAAUCAAGGGUUCAAAUUGUCAAGUUUUAGCUGUGAGUGUAGGAAAGAACCAUAAUCAAACGGGGUGGCUCAUCCUCUUAAAAUCCAUAGGAAUUCUAGAGAACAAAGAAGGUAUCUGAUUCUGAAGGUGUGUAUGAAUCUUAGAAACUUUUCAAGUUCGUGUCCUUGGAGAUGGUUGUUGGUAUGGUACACUAUCAGGCCAUCCAAGUUCAUUACCUUCAGAAUCCCCUUUUGAGUCACAUCUGCAAGUGUUGGAUGCCAUGAUAAAAGCAGUGACAUUCCAUGGUACAUGCCAACGGAAAAUCAUGUCGGACGGUGCUCGUCGAAGAUGACAACGAAGCAGCCGUGCCGCCAACCCUCGAUCAUCUUCUUGCGGAGUCGGGAACAACCAUGACUGCCCAUGAUGAAUAAUUGUUUUCUGACGUGAAGUCAACCAUGAAAAGUUGGUAGUGUAGGAACUAUGUUGAAUCUAUUUUCAAGUGUCUUACUUCUAUAAUAUACAAGCACCAAUUUAUCUGCAAAGUUUGCAAAUAGAUAUUUACAAUAAACAUGGUAACAUUAUUAUUAAUAUAUCAAGUUGAAAUCAAAACUUCACAUAGAAUAGACACUUUCCAGAAAAUAGUGAUGCAUUGACUAUCUGUUGAAUGUGCAUUAAAUCAUAAUGUAUAUUCAAGUGUCGAUAACAUCAGGAGAUAACUUUGAUUUACUAAAAGCUUAAGGCAAGUGGCAUAAUUUUAAAAAUAAAAAUACUAAUACCAUGCCAUUUUAGAUGCAGGUAGUUUUAUGCAUCAGUACAAACACUCCAAAACAAAACUCAGCAGAAUCUGUUUUAGAAACAAAACUCCAAAACACCCCAUGUAGUAAAAUAAGUUGGCUAAGUAAAAAGAGAGCAAAAUUUUGACAUGCCUGACAUUGACAAUGCUAUGAAAUAUCAUGGCACUGUCAGCAUUAUCAAUUCUCUUGCUAGAAACAUUACCUUCACUCAGGGAUAGUACUAAUUUAGGCUACAGACAUGGUUACAGGCUUCUAGGUUAGUGCACAGCAGGAGGAAAACAAACAUAGACCUGAAUGACGCAGCAGGAGGAAAACAUAGUUAUGAACAAGCAACUGCAGCCUAUAGAUGUAAAUGAACUUGAUAAUUGUUCCCUGCUCUAGCAGAAAUAUAACUACAAUUACUAAACUUGACAUGAGAAUCAACACACCUGCAGGGACAUGUAGUCAGCACACAUAUAUGUUUGGUUCAUGCAAGUAAAACAUGUGAAAUUCCAUUAUAGGUGACAAGGGAAUGGAUUUACUCUAGAAAAUUGCGAGAAUUAAUUAGCAUGUCAAAAGAGAAUUAGAGGAGUAAAUCACAAAGCUUGUUUCAGCCAUUGGAGGAACAAGUCUGUUACUUAUCAUCAAAGAAGCAUGUUCAACACACGGCCUACGGUAUAUAUGCCUGGAGAGCAUGUCGUAGCUGUGCACCAACUGCUACCCGGACGCGGAGGCGCCGAUGUUGCCCCCGUGGCCUCCACCUCCCGCACAAUCUACAAGUGGCUCCGGUACCCCGUGUCCUUGAACGCCAACUUCUACAGCAGGUGCGUCACGCCGGAAGACUCCGUCAACUCGUUGACCAACCCCGACGCUGUGAACACCCCCACGAAUACCGAGGG